UUUUUGUAAUGAUGAUAUUAUAGUUCAUCUGAACUCUUUGAUGUACAACUUGCAUUAUGUCUUUCGCUCCUAUCUGAUUGUACAAAAC
rfam:Operophtera brumata OBRT01_Sc07522, whole genome shotgun sequence.